rnacentral:rRNA from 1 species
AUUGAACGCUGGCGGCGUGCUUAACACAUGCAAGUCGAGCGGUAACAGGUGUAGCAAUACAUGCUGACGAGCGGCGAACGGGUGAGUAAUGCUUCGGAAUCUGCCCAGUAAUGGGGAAUAACUAGCCGAAAGGUUAGCUAAUACCGCAUACGACCUACGGGUGAAAGCGGGGGAUCGCAAGACCUCGCGUUAUUGGAUGAGCCGAAGUCGGAUUAGCUAGUUGGUAGGGUAACGGCCUACCAAGGCGACGAUCCGUAGCUGGUCUGAGAGGACGACCAGCCACACUGGGACUGAGACACGGCCCAGACUCCUACGGGAGGCAGCAGUGGGGAAUAUUGGACAAUGGGGGCAACCCUGAUCCAGCGACGCCGCGUGUGUGAAGAAGGCCUGCGGGUUGUAAAGCACUUUUAGUGGGGAGGAAACGCUCAGACCUAACACGUCUGGGAACUGACUUAACCCAAAGAAAAAGCACCGGCUAACUCUGUG